UGGGGGAUAUUGCACAAUGGGGGGAACCCUGAUGCAGCGACGCCGCGUGGGUGAAGGAGUGCUUCGGCAUGUAAAGCCCUAUCGGCAGGGAAGAAGCAAGACGGUACCUGACUAAGAAGCCCCGGCUAACUACGUGCCAGCAGCCGCGGUAAUACGUAGGGGGCGAGCGUUAUCCGGAUUCACUGGGUGUAAAGGGAGCGUAGACGGCCAUGCAAGCCAGGGGUGAAAGCCCGGGGCCCAACCCCGGGACUGCCCUUGGAACUGCAUGGCUGGAGUGCGGGAGGGGCAGGCGGAAUUCCUGGUGUAGCGGUGAAAUGCGUAGAUAUCAGGAGGAACACCGGCGGCGAAGGCGGCCUGCUGGACCGCGACUGACGUUGAGGCUCGAAAGCGUGGGGAGCGAACA
rnacentral:rRNA from 1 species